UAACUUGGUUUUUUUGAUUGGGUGUUAGGGUGGUGCUAAGAAGGUUGUCAUCUCAGCCCCAAGCAAAGAUGCUCCUAUGUUCGUUGUUGGAGUUAACGAGAAGGAAUACAAGCCAGAACUCCACAUUGUUUCCAAUGCUAGUUGCACUACAAACUGCCUUGCUCCUCUUGCGAAGGUUCUACCUUUUAUCACUUCUCGAUAAUGUUAUGAUCAGGUUAACUUGAGCCAAAAUUGUGAGGUGGUUUUAACUUCAUUGACUAUGCAGGUUAUUAAUGACCGAUUUGGCAUUGUGGAGGGUCUUAUGACAACUGUUCACUCGAUUACUGGUAGGUCUUUCAAGCUGUUGUCCUUGGUGCCUAUCAUUUCAAGGGUCUACUCUGUAUAUUAAUUUGCUUCUUUUUAACACUCUGAAUCAGCCACCCAAAAGACUGUUGAUGGCCCUUCAAUGAAGGACUGGAGAGGUGGAAGAGCUGCUUCAUUCAACAUCAUUCCUAGCAGCACUGGAGCUGCCAAGGUAUUUAAGAACUUAAAAGAGGUUGAAUAUAGUAAUUAUGUCAUUAUUCUUAUGUUCUUGGUAUGUACUGGCAGCAUCUUGUUUGGUAAAUGUUUGAUGGUGGUGGUUCUAUAAAUAUGACUUAUUCUUAAUUGAGAUAAGUUAAAGAUGGUGGCAUGUGGAAUUAAUAAUGAGUAGUGCUAUAAGAAUAGAUGCUUUUACACAACCUAUGCAACUCAAAGUGGUGUCAUGCUUUUCAAUCUUUCAACUAUUUGUUUUAAAGCAAGCUGAAGGUUGUUUUAUAAACGUGUGGUGAUUUUAUAGAGAUAUAGGGGUUAAAGGUGGCAUGUGGAAUCAACUAUAUGUAGAUUUUUAUACAAACAAAAUAUUUUUAUGCAACCUAUGCUAAAAGAAUAGAUUCUUUUACGCAACCUAUGCAAAAGUGGUGUCAUGCUUUUCAGUCUUUCAACUAUUUAUUUUAAAGCAAGGUGAAGGUUGUUUUAUAAAUGUGUGGUGAUAUUAUAGAGAUAUAGGGGUUAAAGGUGGCAUGUGGAAUCAGCAAUCUGUAGUUUUUUAUACAAACAAAAUAUUUUUCUGCAACUUAUACUAAAUAAAAAAUUAAGGUGGGGUCGUACUUCCAAAUUUUUUCAAUUAUUUAUUCCAAAGUAGUUCUAAUUCUUAUUCAAAGUUUCUUAGCUUUGCCACCAGGGCUUUCAAAGUAAUUUUUCAUAAACAGAAUGAGGAUAGGUUGACUCCAUUUUUACUACUUAGAGCAUUUUAAUUUGUAUUUGUGUGUAUAUAUGUAUUCAGCUUUUCAACUAAUUUAUCUGAAUUUUGUUCUUUUAAGGCUGUUGGCAAAGUGUUGCCUUCAUUGAAUGGGAAAUUGACUGGAAUGGCUUUCCGUGUUCCUACUGUUGAUGUGUCGGUGGUUGACCUCACUGUCAGGCUGGAGAAGGCUGCUACCUAUGAGCAAGUUAAAGCUGCCAUCAAGUAAGGAUUAGACUUAUGAAUCCUAUGUAAACAACCAUAGAUUCUCUUUUGUAUAUCUCAAGCAGGGAAUAUGACUUGUAUGAUUUAAUAGUAUUUGCUGUUGCCUUUUUAAGCUUCAAACCAGUCAUAGACACCUUGAUUACUGUUUUGACCAUUAUAAGUUGCUUAGGCUUUCCACUUAACUAUAUAUGGUGAUGGUGGGGUGGUUGUACUUUUAGUCUUUUAAUAAUAUCAUAUUAUAUAUUGUUUUUAUGUGGCUUUCAGGGAG
rnacentral:lncRNA from 1 species